rnacentral:rRNA from 1 species
CUCAGGACGAACGCUGGCGGCGUGCAUAAUACAUGCAAGUCGAACGCUUCUUUCCUCCCGAGUGCUUGCACUCAAUUGGAAAGAGGAGUGGCGGACGGGUGAGUAACACGUGGGUAACCUACCCAUCAGAGGGGGAUAACACUUGGAAACAGGUGCUAAUACCGCAUAACAGUUUAUGCCGCAUGGCAUAAGAGUGAAAGGCGCUUUCGGGUGUCGCUGAUGGAUGGACCCGCGGUGCAUUAGCUAGUUGGUGAGGUAACGGCUCACCAAGGCCACGAUGCAUAGCCGACCUGAGAGGGUGAUCGGCCACACUGGGACUGAGACACGGCCCAGACUCCUACGGGAGGCAGCAGUAGGGAAUCUUCGGCAAUGGACGAAAGUCUGACCGAGCAACGCCGCGUGAGUGAAGAAGGUUUUCGGAUCGUAAAACUCUGUUGUUAGAGAAGAACAAGGACGUUAGUAACUGAACGUCCCCUGACGGUAUCUAACCAGAAAGCCACGGCUAACUACGUGCCAGCAGCCGCGGUAAUACGUAGGUGGCAAGCGUUGUCCGGAUUUAUUGGGCGUAAAGCGAGCGCAGGCGGUUUCUUAAGUCUGAUGUGAAAGCCCCCGGCUCAACCGGGGAGGGUCAUUGGAAACUGGGAGACUUGAGUGCAGAAGAGGAGAGUGGAAUUCCAUGUGUAGCGGUGAAAUGCGUAGAUAUAUGGAGGAACACCAGUGGCGAAGGCGGCUCUCUGGUCUGUAACUGACGCUGAGGCUCGAAAGCGUGGGGAGCAAACAGGAUUAG